rnacentral:rRNA from 1 species
CUGGACCUUGCAGCGAAUAGCAUGUCCGGAGAUCUUGGCCAGUGGAUAAUGAAGCAUUAUGACCUUGAGAUUUCGUAGAUAGUCAUCCCAGAAAGGGGGAAGAUUCCUAUAGAUGACGCAAGUGUCCGUAGGAUAUGGGGUUUGCCAAAUAGGGGCAGGAAGGUGUGCUUCGAGAAUCAGCCUGAAAUCACAAAGGCAAUUUACUGUAUUUACAACAUCACAUCCAAGAACACCCCAACUCUCACAGAAUCUUGCAAGAUGAUCAUAGACAUGGGAGCAUCUUAUGAUGAUGACUUUGUCCGCACUUGGCUAGCUCUUGUUUUUUCAUGCUUCCUUGCCCCUUCAACUAGUUUAAGUAUUUCCCCAAAAAUCUUCUCGGAGGUCAUGGAUGUCAAUGGAAUAACGGAAACAAACAUAUGUCAGUUUGUUGUUGAUCAACUAAAGUUUGCGUUCACUUCGGGGCGUGGCAACAAGAAGGCCAUUUGUUGUUGUGUUUUCCACCUUGUUGUAAGUGCUUCAAGCUGUUUUGCUUUUUUAAAAGCAUCCAUUGUUUACCUUUCUUUUCUUUUUUGCAAUCAUUAG